rnacentral:lncRNA from 1 species
GAGGAGGACGAGGAGGGCGGCGGCGAGGAAGGCGGCGGUGGCCCGGCGGGCGCCAAGUUCACGGGGCUGGGCAAGGAGGAGCUGGUGCGGGUGGCCGGGGCGGCCGGUUGGGCGCGGGCCCGCGCCGCCCUGCUGCUGCUCUUCUGGUUGGGUUGGUUGGGCAUGUUGGGCGCCGCCGUGGCCAUCGUGGUCCGAGCCCCCCGCUGCCGCCCGUUGCCCCCGGACGCCUGGGCCCGUCGCGGGCCUCUCUACCGCGCCCCCCCCGGCCCCUUCGCCGGAGACCUGCAAGGUGAGCGGCUGGGGGGGGUGGUGGAGGUGGUCUCAGGUCCUCCUGGGGUGAUGAACAUGGUCUCAGGUCCUCCUGGGGUGGUGGAGGUGGCCUUGGGUCCUCCUGGGGUGGUGGAGGUGGCCUUGGGUCCUCCUGGGGUGGUGGAGGUGGCCUUGGGUCCUCCUGGGGUGAUGAACAUGGUCUCAGGUCCUCCUGGGGUGAUGGAGGUGGCCUUGCAUCUUCCUGGGGUGGUGGAGGUGGUCUUGCGUCCUCCUGGGGUGGUGAGUGUAGCCAUGGAUCCUCCUGGGGUGGUGGAGAUGGCCUUGCGUUCUCUUGGGGUGGUGCAGGUGGCUUUGCGUCCUCCUGGGGUGAUGAACAUGGUCUCAGGUCUUCCUGGGGUGGUUGAGGUGGCCUUGUGUCCUCUUGGGUUGGUGAGUGUAACCAUGGAUCCUCUUGAGUUGAUGAAUAUGACCUCGGGUCCUCCUGGGGUGGUGGAGGUGGCCUUGCAUCCUCGUGGGGUGGUGGAGGUGGCCUCAGGUCCUCCUGGGGUGAUGAACGUGGUUUUGCGUCCUCCUGGGGUGGUGGAGGUGGCCAUGGAUCUUUGUGGAGUGGUAGGGGUGACCUUGUGCUCUCCUGGGGUGGCAGAGGUGACUCUAGAUCUUCCUGGGACGGGGGAGGUGGCCUUGUGUCCUCCUUGGAUGAUGGUGGCUUUGUCUUCUCCUGGGGUGAUGAAGGUGGCCUUGUAGCCUCCUGGAAUGGUGGAAGUGACCCUGGGCCUUCAUGGAGUAGUGGAGGUGGCCCUGGGUCCUCCUGGGGUGGC